ACGCUGGCGGCGUGCCUAACACAUGCAAGUCAACUUGACGGAAGGAGCAAUCUGACCGUAGAGUGGCGCAAGGGUGACGUAACGCGUAAGUAACUUGCCCCAAGGUAAGGAAUAACGUCGAGAAAUCGGCGCUAAUACCUCAUAAUGCAGCGGAUCCGCAUGGAUAUGUUGUUAAAGGUUUACCGCCUUGGGAUAGGCUUGCGUCUGAUUAGCUAGUUGGUGUGGUAACGGCACACCAAGGCUACGAUCAGUAACUGGUCUGAGAGGAUGAUCAGUCACACUGGAACUGAGACACGGUCCAGACUCCUACGGGAGGCAGCAGUGAGGAAUAUUGGGCAAUGCUCGAAAGAGUGACCCAGCAACGCCGCGUGGAGGAUGAAGGUAUUCUAUAUCGUAAACUCCUGUGAGAGCAGACGAAAGACAGAUUAUUAAUCUGGAUGACUGUAUGCUCAGAGGAAGCCCCGGCUAACUACGUG
rnacentral:rRNA from 1 species